UACGGAGGGUGCGAGCGUUGUCCGGAAUCACUGGGCGUAAAGGGCGCGUAGGUGGCGCGACAAGUCAACGGUGAAAGCUCGGCGCUCAACGCCGAGUCGGCCGUCGAUACUGUUGGGCUUGAGCACUGUAGAGGCUAAUGGAAUUCCGGGUGUAGCGGUGGAAUGCGUAGAGAUCCGGAAGAACACCGGUGGCGAAGGCGGUUAGCUGGGCAGUUGCUGACACUGAGGCGCGACAGCGUGGGGAGCAAACAGGG
rnacentral:rRNA from 1 species